UACAGAGGUCCCGAGCGUUGUUCGGAUUCACUGGGCGUAAAGGGUGCGUAGGUGGUUGGGUAAGUCUGAUGUGAAAUCUCCGGGCUCAACCCGGAAAUGGCAUUGGAUACUAUUCGGCUAGAGGUUUGGGGGGGGGACUGGAAUUCUCGGUGUAGCAGUGAAAUGCGUAGAUAUCGAGAGGAACACCAGUGGCGAAGGCGAGUCCCUGGACAACACCUGACACUGAGGCACGAAAGCUAGGGGAGCAAACAGG
rnacentral:rRNA from 1 species